UACAAAGGGGGCAAGCGUUGUUCGGAAUUACUGGGCGUAAAGGGCGCGUAGGCGGCCUUCUAAGUCGAACGUGAAAUCCCUGGGCUCAACCCAGGAACUGCGUCCGAUACUGGAAGGCUUGAAUCCGGGAGAGGGAUGCGGAAUUCCAGGUGUAGCGGUGAAAUGCGUAGAUAUCUGGAGGAACACCGGUGGCGAAGGCGGCAUCCUGGACCGGUAUUGACGCUGAGGCGCGAAAGCCAGGGGAGCAAACGGG
rnacentral:rRNA from 1 species